rnacentral:lncRNA from 12 species
CCUGGGCUCACCUAGAGAUAGGGCAGCACAGAGGUUUCCCUGGAGGCUGGGAACCCACCUCCUCAGUGGUCCUGGCAGCUUGCCAGCCAGGGACUGGUCCUACUUAGUCCCCAGAGGCACCUUGGGUGCUGGGGUGGCUCCUAUUCCAACAGGAAUACUAGCUGGAAUAUGGCCUGAAAGGAAAUGAGUUCAGAGGGAGGGAGGUGCCUCAUUUCCAGAAAAGAUUUCAGAGUCAGAGUCUGGCCUCACCUGUCCCUCUACCUGCGAAGGGCCCACUGAAAUCAAUGCACCCUGCUCCUCGGCCCAGCCCCCGAGUCACCCUCAAGCUCCUUCCUCGUCCCCCUGCCUGGCCCCAGACAGCUUCAGAAAGCCUCUCUAGAAGACUUUUCCCAGUGUCAUAAGAAGCAAUGUGACUCACAAUUGUACAACUUUGUGUAGUAUUGCGUCCGUUGGCCCUAGAAGGAAGGUAAGUGGCACUGAUCCUGUGGUCUAUCAAAAUUGGCAGUAUCUGGACUGUGAAUGAGAAGUAUGACCAUGUCAGUUCUUUCUUGAUGGUAAAAGAUUUUGAUACCACUCAUAGACAUCAUAGUUGUCAUUGCAAGAAAGUCCCAAGUACCAGUGUAGAGUUGUUUUUUUUUUUUUAAAGAUUUUAUUUAUUCAUGAGAGACACAGAGAGAGGCAGAGACACAGGCAGAGGGAGAAGCAGGCUCCCUGCAGGGAGGCUGAUGGGGAACUCGAUU